AUGGAGAGGAAACCUCCCAGAUCCCCCAGAGUGGCCUGGGAGAAGAGUGGGGCUCCCCGGGAGAGAAGACCUCCACCGGAGCCCUACCAGGUGACCGAGGUGCAGCCGCUGCAUGCCGAUGCUGACUGGCUGCCUGUGUACCCGGAGGAAAAGGAGGUCAUAGAAACCAUCGAAGCCUACGUCAACAGCACAGAAAAGGAUCUGGUGCAGAAGAUGCAGUUCCUGAACUGCAUCAUCACACUGUGCAGCACUGCCAGAAAUAAGGGCUUGACAGAGGGCCUGGAUGUCUUCUGCUUCAUAAACGAUUUGCCAGAGAACAUUGAGGUCCUUAUGCGUCAGGAGCCCAGGGAGCAGCUGUGCACAGCACUGCGAUACCACACCAUGAACGCUAUUGCUGCCUUGAGCAGUGUGAAGGCAAUUUCGGAGGAUGAAAUAGUACACCUCUUAAACGUGUGCUUCAAAGUCAUCUUCUACCUUCCUCCAAAGAAGGUCUUGAACAUUUGCCUCUACAACCAUACCCUGCAUGCUAUGGACAACAUGCUGAAGGUGUUGCUAGACAGCCAUCCUUCCUCCAGCAUCCGUAACCAGCUGCAGAGUAUCUUGGAGGUGCUGCUGCCCUUCACUGUCUCCCAGAGCAAAAUUGUGCGUGAGAGGGCCAUGGAGCGGAUGUGGAAGCUUUGUGGUUUCAUGGCCAGCAGUUUCAGGCAGCAGCCAAUUGGAAAACUCAUCCACCCUCCUCAGACUACAGACAUCGUCCUCAUGACCCUUGAAAAGACCAUGGGAGACUGCAGCACUGAGGACAAGGAGUAUGCCAGGAUUCUACUGGAUUUGAUUCUGAGAGACCCUCACACCUGGCUGACGGAUCAGGUGCCAGUGAUUGUGGGGUUCAUCCAGAGAAAGCUGAAAAGCAACAGCACGUCAGUUCAGGAGAUCCUCACGUCGGUGCUUCCUGUGCUGGCAAAUGAGUUUCCCAGGGAUGCGUUAACAAGCGUGUUGACCGAACUAACACAGAGUGACAGCACCCCCCUGGACAUCUGGAAGAGAAUGCUUUCCCUGCCAGGGACUUCUGGGAGGAUCUUGGAAGAACUGCACCAUGUUCUCCAGGACCCAGAGCUGUGCGGGAUCACCACAGCGGAGUUGGGUCUCCUUCGCCUGACUGUGAGUUACAGAGCAUCUGCUGCCUAGGGUUACUUUCUGACCCUCCAGUGCUUCCUUUUCUACCGGCACCAGGCAUUAACCCCAGGUGCCGCAGCAGGGACAUGGAGGUUAAGCAGGCAGCGUGUGCCCCGGAGGCAUUGUCAAGGGCCAGCCCUGUCUGCUCCUUGGCCCGGUGCCCAGGGAGCUCCGCUUUGACCUGGUGGGGUGGCUGAGGGAGCACUGUGAGGCACAGGCACCCCGUGCUGGAAACCUGUCGCAUUGCUUUGCGUGGGCCGCCAGCGCCUUUGUGCAGAAUGUGACACCAAAGCAUCUCCAUUCACAUCAGCCAUGCUAAUGAUAUGCCCUGCCCUCCACUGCUGUUUGGCAUCUGAAGCCAUUUUAAGCCAGCCAAGUGCAACGGGAAGGCCAGUAACAUCAGUGGCAGUGGGGCAAAUGGCUGCUGUGACAGCAACAUUCUCCCUGUGUUCUCACAACAGGUGCCAGAGAUUCUGGGGUCGAUCCAUAGAAACCUGGAAAGCAACAGCGCAUCACUUCAGCAAACACUCCGCUCUUUGCUGGAUGUGCUGACCAACCGGUUUCCCAGGGAUGCGCUGAGAAGUGUAUUGACCGACCUUUCUCAGUGUGACAGGUACCAGCCCUGACAGCCCUGCACAAUUGUUCCAUGUGAAGAGAGGGCUCAGAGACGCUCUGGCUGCCAGAGCCAAGGAAAGCUGCAGGACAUCCCCGAGGAGCAGGCCUUCCAUCCCACUGUGCUUUCCAGCGCUGGUGGGCCG
rnacentral:lncRNA from 1 species